UAUUUAAUAAAGUUUCCUUUUUCAAGAUGUACAGCUGGUGGGACAUGUUGUUCAUGCAUCUUCACCAAUAGCUGGGGCAUCCCCACCUUUGGUGUUUCUUGUGUAAAUUACUUAAGCUCUGUGCUUUGAAACUAGUUGAAUAAAUCCUUUACUAAGGAGCUCCUGAAGGGCUGCCCUGGCCAAGGAACUAGUAACCUAGUUUCAAAGCACUGAGCUA